AGCCGCGGUAAUACGGAGGAUCCGAGCGUUAUCCGGAUUUAUUGGGUUUAAAGGGUGCGUAGGCGGCCUUUUAAGUCAGCGGUGAAAGUCUGUGGCUCAACCAUAGAAUUGCCGUUGAAACUGGGGGGCUUGAGUAUGUUUGAGGCAGGCGGAAUGCGUGGUGUAGCGGUGAAAUGCAUAGAUAUCACGCAGAACCCCGAUUGCGAAGGCAGCCUGCCAAGCCAUGACUGACGCUGAUGCACGAAAGCGUGGGGAUCAAACAGGAUUAGAUACCCUGGUAGUCCACGCAGUAAACGAUGAUCACUAGCUGUUUGCGAUACACUGUAAGCGGCACAGCGAAAGCGUUAAGUGAUCCACCUGGGGAGUACGCCGGCAACGGUGAAACUCAAAGGAAUUGACGGGGGCCCGCACAAGCGGAGGAACAUGUGGUUUAAUUCGAUGAUACGCGAGGAACCUUACCCGGGUUUGAACGCAUUCGGACCGAGGUGGAAACACCUUUUCUAGCAAUAGCCGUUUGCGAGGUGCUGCAUGGUUGUCGUCAGCUCGUGCCGUGAGGUGUCGGCUUAAGUGCCAUAACGAGCGCAACCCUUAUCACUAGUUACUAACAGGUGAAGCUGAGGACUCUGGUGAGACUGCCAGCGUAAGCUGUGAGGAAGGUGGGGAUGACGUCAAAUCAGCACGGCCCUUACAUCCGGGGCGACACACGUGUUACA
rnacentral:rRNA from 1 species